AUGGAGAGGGCAAUACGUGGAUUUGCUUCAGAUAUUGGAGACAACGCCAUUGUGCCGAAGCUCGGAACAAUCUUCAAUACAUUGAGUGAAGCAUACGAUUUUUACAAUCUGUAUUUAUGGGAGAAAGGAUUUGGCAUUCGAUAUGGUAAAAGCUGUCUGAAUGUUGAGAGGACGUGGAAAUCUAUUGUGGAUAAUACUGGUCUUGCCGGCGUUAGUGCCCUACUCUGA
rnacentral:rRNA from 1 species